CAAUUGAAAGUUUCCAGUUCACCUAACUGCCAUGUCUUUGGAUGUGGGAGGAAUCCAGAGCACCCGGCGGGAACCCACACAGAAAGGGGGAGAAUAUGCAAA